rnacentral:lncRNA from 1 species
CAUGUAAUACAAAAAUAUAAGUUAUUCAAAAUCACAUAACAUAUAAUAAGUUAAUAACAAUAAAAUGUUCAACUUGUUAAAAAAAAUAAAAAUAAAAUAUUCAACAAUAGUUAAUAGAACUAAAGAAACAAAGCAUCUCAAAAAUAAAUAUAAAGUCUAAACAUUUGAGUAACACUCUUCUUCAACAUUAAUAAUAUUUGGUGCUUCAACUUGAUCCAUGUCUUCUUGCUCAUCAUCUUCACCAUCUAUUAAAACAAAACAAUAUAAUUAAAGCAUAAUAUAGUUCGAUAAUUUGAAACAUAAUAACAAAAAGGGAAUCUUACUGCAACAUGAACAAAAUUAUAACAAAAUUAUAUUAAAACUAUAUCAACACUUGGAGAUGAGUCCUCCAUCUUUAACACCUAAGGGCUACAACAUGAACAAAAUUAUAUUAAAAUUAAGUAAACAAAGGGACAAGUAAUAGAAAUUUGAGAGGAUACGCAAAUAAGAAUUUUUUUGUCUCACUGCAUACCCUACGCAAAUAAGAAUUUUUUGCACUCGAGCUGGUAGUUCCAGGCGGCCGCUGACGCGAGUGGAGGCGUCGUGUCGUGGUGGUGCCGACGUGCAGCAGUGGUUGACCUGGUGGUUCCGGGUCAGUGGCAAACGGCGGCUGCAGCGGACGGCGUGGAUCUCUGAGGUGGUGGCGGACGGCGCGGCGAGGUGAAUUGAAAUUGGGAAAAGAAAUGAGGAAGAAUGGAGGACUGGAGGAGGCGCCGCAUAACUCAAAGCAAAACCCUAAAAUUUUAUUUCAAAUUCCUAUUUUUUUCGAUUUUUUGUUUUUAAAAUUCAGCAGCCCGACGGGCUGGCCCGACAACCCGACGGGCUGGCCCGCUCCAACCCGGCAGCCCGAACGGGCUGGCCCGAUAAGCCCGAUUCAUAAUCGGGUUGGAAUUUUUCAGCCCUAACCCUCUACUUUUGUCGGGUUAUUCGGGCCGGCCCACGGGUUUCGGGCUGCUUUGACAUCCCUAA